AGCAGCCGCGGUAAUUCCAGCUCCAAUAGCGUAUAUUAAAGUUGUUGCAGUUAAAAAGCUCGUAGUUGAAUUUCGGGAUUGGCGCAUCGGUCGUGCCUCACGGGGUAUGAACUGGUGCAGUCAAUUUCUCACCUUCUGGAGAACCGCGAUGUCCUUAAUUGGAUGCCGUGGGGAACCAGGACCUUUACUUUGAAAAAUUAGAGUGUUUAAAGCAGGCAUUUUUGCUUGAAUACAUUAGCAUGGAAUAAUAAAAUAGGACGGCAUGGUUCUAUUUUGUUGGUUUCUAGGACCACCGUAAUGAUUAAUAGGGAUAGUUGGGGGCAUUAGUAUUCAAUUGUCAGAGGUGAAAUUCUUGGAUUUAUUGAAGACUAACUACUGCGAAAGCAUUUGCCAAGGAUGUUUUCAUUAAUCAAGAACGAAAGUUAGGGGAUCGAAGACGAUCAGAUACCGUCGUAGUCUUAACCAUAAACUAUGCUGACUAG
rnacentral:misc_RNA from 1 species